CAUUUCCAGUGAUGACUUUACCUACAUUGUCUGAAACCUGAAGACAAACACAAAACUGAGGAAAUG